GACGAACGCUGGCGGCGUGCUUAACACAUGCAAGUCGAGCGGUAAGGCCCUUUCGGGGGUACACGACCGGCGAACGGGUGAGUAACACGUGGGUGACCUGCCCUCAGCUCUGGGAUAAGCCUGGGAAACCGGGUCUAAUACCGGAUAUGACUCCAUGACGCAUGUUGUGGGGUGGAAAGCCUUGUGCGGCUGAGGAUGGGCCCGCGGCCUAUCAGCUUGUUGGUGGGGUGANGGCCUACCAAGGCGACGACGGGUAGCCGGCCUGAGAGGGCGACCGGCCACACUGGGACUGAGACACGGCCCAGACUCCUACGGGAGGCAGCAGUGGGGAAUCUUGCGCAAUGGGCGAAAGCCUGACGCAGCGACGCCGCGUGAGGGAUGACGGCCUGGU
rnacentral:rRNA from 1 species